UCAUAAGGAAAAGGCUGGAUGGGGUAAGCAGGAAGUAUGACAACAACGAUAAUCAUCCAGUAUCAUCUGAUGAAGAAACAUUGCAAGCACGCAAGCGCAGAACCAAAACUAAGGAACUGUCAUUGGAGAAUCUUUCACCGAUCAUAUCACAGCAUCAAUAGACUUCACAAGGCACGGAUUCUGACGAUGAGACCAUAGGACCUGUGCUUAGAACCGAAACUAAAGAGCUGCCGUUGAUGGAUCUUUCACCGAGUAUAUCACAGCAUCAAGAGACUUCGCAAGGCACGGAUUCUGAUGGCGAGACCAUGGGAUCAAUGCUUAGGCGCAUAAGGAAAAGGCUGGAUGCGGUAAGCAGGAAGUAUGACAACAACGAUAA